rnacentral:lncRNA from 1 species
GGACUAGCAAGGAGUAGCAGGGCGAUGAGUUCUAGUUUGGAGUCCUUUUUUGAAUGGAACUCAUUGGCAUAGGAAUGACCAUGGAAAGUUUGAAUUAAAGGACCGAGUCACAGAAUUGACACUAUUUCUUCUAAUAAUGGAGUGGGCAGGUGCGUAGAUCAAUAAGGUCAGGGUACCUGGCUAAGUUAUCCAAUUCUCAAGUCAGGAUACCUGGGCUACUAUGGGCUAAGAAAUGAACUAAUUAGUCAAAGAAUGCUUGUAGUGUUGUGCGUGUGAACAGAUGUAGCCAAGUAAAUAAAAGAAUGGAAAUAGAAUCUAGGGCAAAUGCCCCGCAAGGUAGGAAGCCGGAAUUGCACUCAGUAGUAACGGAAUCAAAGCUGUUGACUUAACCACAUAAGCUAGCCUCGUACCACUAGCUACUACCGAUAAGACUGAUGAAACACCCCAGUGGAUUGAACUGCCAUUCCUUUCUUUUGGCCCGAGACAUCCUAAACCGAAACAACUGAUUCAGAUACUUUAGCCGCGGAUAUAGAACCUCCUCCACAGCUCAAGGCUUGCUCCACUGGCUUCAAUACCUUAUCUUCCCAUAAUGAAUUCCACUAAUGCCUUAAGGGCUACCGCACCUACCGUAUAUGUCAAGUAUGGCUUUCCUGCCUUUAGGUCUCCUAUUGCUCUAUCCUAUUCUCCAAUUACUGCCCUAGAACCUUGCCUUACAUACUACAAGCUUUAUUCCCUCUUCCACGCCUCUACUCCUUAGUUGCACAUCUUAUCCUAUCUAUCCCAUCUAUAAGUCGUACUAUAUCCUCUCUAGGCCUGGCACUGCUAUAUCAAGGGAUCCGACAUACCAUCCCAGUCUAAUACCUCCUCUUGGAAUAAUGAAUUACUAAAACUAGAAACAAGACCGGUGCCACUAAUAUGAAAAGGGUAGCACCUACCCCCACACGAGAAUCACUUUUAUGCUAAGAAAGAAUUAAGCUACGACUAUUAGAUUGAAACACUACCUUGUCAGAGUAGAGGUCCUAUACUGGCAGUAAUGAACCAAAGAACAAUAACUUUACAUACAUAAUGGGAACAACGAUAGGAGAUCAGAAUACAAAUCAAACUAACAACACUGACUCCGCUAACUUGGAAUUCCGAUGGUGCCUAUAAGAUUGACACCGGGCUACUAACUAUAGAAAUGGGUCUACUACUUAAGUGAAGAGAAAACAAAACCUAUUGCUUCUGGAGCCAACUAGGAAUUACGCUCAUUGAUAUCAGAACCAAACCCAUCAAUCAGCAUAUGGAACGAAGCUACCCCACAGUAUUGCUUGUAUCGGUAGCACAUGGGUAGCAACGAACGUAUCAAUAGCAUAGGUAGCAAUGAAAACCAUAUUGAUUGAUUGCGCGUACGCGUAUCAAUAGCACAUAGGUAGUAUCAAUACAAUAACAGAGCAGAAGAGAGUUAGACAGAAGAGAGUUUCUUCCGUGCCAAAUCUAUUCUAUUCUCUUAUCCCCGUGCCAAAUCUAUUCUAUUCUCUUAUAAUAAUUAGAAUAUAGUUGAUUCAGUGCCAAUGCAAUAUAUGACUUUGAGCAGCAUAUACUACUUUUCACUGAUUGGUAUAGGGAUGCCUAGCUUACUUGCACAGCACAGUCAACACACCUACACACGGAGAAAAGAAACAAACACAUCUAGAGCUGCUAGUCACUCAUUAUUCAAGUCAAAUAACUCAUGCAUUGCAGGGCCGGGCAAUCAUUCUUGUCGUAAAAGCCCUUAAGCCCGAAAGUCACAUCAGUAAGUCUGUUAGCGGACCCACGUUCUGUUGAUUAGGGUCAACGUCGACGUCAACGAGCAUACCCCGCAGAGAACUAAGUCGAUAGUUCGGGUCGGUGGUCCACACACUCGUUCUGUUAGGUCAUUCAAUCAUUCUGAAAGUCACAUCGAUAAGUAUGUCGAGCAGAAGUAACAUCAACAAGUAUGUCGAGUAGCGCCCCCGUUCUGUGAGCGGUAAUUCACUCUGUCUUCGAACGGGGAUCAUCUCUCCGCUCGGUCAUUAACUCUGUCUUCGCGGAUCAUCGCUCAUUCAUAGAGGUGUGAUCAACUGGUCUAGGUGCCCUUUCCUUGGAAUGGGUCCCAUAUUUCUGUGUUGAAUCAUCAAAUGACAAAUCAUGUGUUUCAGCCUUAGACCCCGGAGAGAUAUUCUGUAUUCUUAGCAAUAUUCUUAGUAGUAAAGUCGCUAUUGUCUUAUCCUACUUAGUGGAAUUAUGUCUUCAAUCAUAGAUCUGUAGACUGAACACUGGAAUCACAGAUAUAUAGUGAAGCGAUAAAGUUUCGCUGGUUUUUGACCUUAUUUAGCUUAGCAAAUAGAAAGAAGUUUUACUAUACAGCAAAAGAAUAAUGAAUGGAAUGUAGUUGCGCGGCUAGCUUAGCGUAACUCUUUUCGGCAGUUGAACUAGACAAGUGUUUUCAUAUCAAAUAGGGGAGCCUUACUCUCCCAUCCCUAAGCUAAGCCCCAACCCCCUUGCUCUAACUCUAACUACUCUUACUUAUAUUCUUCAAAUAAUAGCUCUGGCCCUGCCUUGCUUUCGGUCUUACUACCAAACUCUGCAACUAAAUACUUUCAUCUUGCCCACAAGAACAGUAUGCCGAUCCCUUGAUCUUGGUCUACCGUCUAAAACAUACACUGCUCUGUCUCAUUCCCGCGCUGUUUAGUUUCAAUAUGAUGGGCCCUCUUCUGCUAAUAAGAGUAGAAUUGCUGUUUCUAAGAAUCGACCUGGGGAUAAAGAAUACACCUACCGUGCAGAGAUGUGGUAAGUAACCAUUAGAAUGGAACAGGUGUUGACAAGAAUGACCUACCAACUAGGAAACCUCAAAAGAAUAGAAAUAGUACUCAUCGGACCUUCUACUACUAAUAUCAGAAUAUGACUACCGCUUCCAGAGCUUAACUUAACUACAUAACUCAGGUCGAUCUCGAACCUCGCUCUACCAUACCGCCGCCUGCCCCUCUUUUUGCAUUCCGCAUUGAUAGCUUGAGUAUUGAACUCCCCUAUCUUAGGCUUACUUUACGACUUCUGUCCUUACUGCCCGGCAUCCACAUAUGUAUUUGUCCCACCAAGCAACCCAUAUCACUCUGACGCUCCCGGCGCUUAGUCUAAAAUGAAUUCCUUCUAGCCUUAAAGCGACUAUUCUCAGUGUACUAUUACUAUUAAAUGACAAACUUGUGCUUCUCGUAACCUCCUCUCUAAACAUAGGAUCGAACAAGGUGCUUUUGAGUCUAAUGAAUGCACUACUAUUUCUAUCAAGUAGUAUGCCCACUUUCUCAAAAGAAAGGUGCUAAGAGCGUUCACCCUGUCACUAGAAAGAAAGGAAUAUCGGCAAGGAAAGGAAUAUCGGCUGCUCAACCUGUCACUAGAAAGAAAGGUGCUAAGAGCGUUCACCCAACACUAGAGAGUACUUGAUUCUGGCCUUUGCUUCUUGCCCUUGUUUGCUUGUUGAGAGCACCUGUUCUAUGAUUUUGUAAGCGCUAACUGAGGUAUGCACUGCAACUCUCAUACUUUUCUAUGACGGGAUCCUCAAUAAGAAGAUAAAGGCGAGGAUCUUCAUCCACGACAGGAGGAAGCCUUAAGCGGUGCCGACUCUGCCAGCCUUUUGUCCUAUUAGUUUCGCUUUCAAAGGAGUCAAUGGGAAAACUAGGGAUAUGGAUUCAUUAGGUUCAAAUUCUCCUUUUGUUCUUUUAAGGCAUAAGAGAGGAGGGAACAACCAUUGUGAAUGAUGCUAAGCUAUCAAAAGUCACUACGCAACCUCUACUCAAGAGUACGUAAGAGAUGAGGGAGGAUCGAUCGGAUCGGGCUUUUAUUUAAAAUCAAGCAUUCUGACCCUAGCCUAUCUCACCAUGGAAGUUUCUAGCCUUAGCAUAUAGGGCGGUCCUUAAGCGGUAACGGAGGCCGUGUUUCACUGAUACUUUCCCAUAUAAGGAGUGGAUGCUGGUGAGCUGCUCAAUAAUACUUGUUCUCCUAAAAUAUUUGGAAAUCUCCCUUGAGGGUAGGGAUGACUCUUUUAGCAGCAUAUGUCCCCUAGGGUUUGAUCUCCCUUAAAGCUUCUUCUUUGGUGUAACAAUGGCUUAAGGCCGAAUUCAUCUUCUUCCAUCCCUGCACUGUUAUACGUGCCAAUCCUUUCCAUUCAAGCUCGGGCCGUAGGUGUAAGAUCCCAGUUCUUCGGUGCAGUUAAGAGGUGGGGCUAGCUAAUGCAGUUAAGAGGUGGGGCUAGCGAAACUUACUCCACUUCAUAGAUCUCUCUUCUGCUCUCCGCAUCAAUGGCAUGAGAAUUCUUUGGCUUUGUCAGGCAAUGGCAUGAACUGGGGACUGCUAAACAAGCUUAGAUUUCUCAUUUCCUGAUCAUUAUCGAAAUCACCAUUUGCUAACUCUCACAAUCAACGAGCGAAGAUAAGCAGAGAAUUGUGCUUGUGUUGGGUUGGGGAGAAAAGGUUUUCUCAAUCCCCGUCUUCUAAUCCAGUAGGAGCCAUCCUUGCCUAAUCCAGAAUGUGAGAGAGUUGCAAUCAUCUCCAGAAUGUGAGAGAGUUGCAAUCAUAACUAAAUAAGGAAGCACUCAAUCGCAGCUUGAUGGGCUCUAGCUCUAAAUGGCCCAAUCCAGCAUCGCCGAAUCCACCCGAUCAAAUGUUCGUUUUCUCAAAAGGAAAGGUUCAAAAAGGGUGCGUGCGCGCUUCAAGGCUAGGUGCAUUAUUGGAUUGGCACUCUUGCUUUCACUUAGGGUUUAGAUCGGGAUUCUUGUUUUACCAGCUAAGCAUUUCAGGGGUUGGUUAAUAGACGCUUUAAGAGCAACGGGCCCCAUAAGAAAAGAGGUUGAUAGACACUAGACCUAUAGGGGGAGGGAGGAAGCGACUGAAAGGAUAAGGAUAGGG